rnacentral:rRNA from 1 species
UACGAAGGGGCUAGCGUUGCUCGGAAUCACUGGGCGUAAAGGGUGCGUAGGCGGGUCUUUAAGUCAGGGGUGAAAUCCUGGAGCUCAACUCCAGAACUGCCUUUGAUACUGAAGAUCUUGAGUUCGGGAGAGGUGAGUGGAACUGCGAGUGUAGAGGUGAAAUUCGUAGAUAUUCGCAAGAACACCAGUGGCGAAGGCGGCUCACUGGCCCGAUACUGACGCUGAGGCACGAAAGCGUGGGGAGCCAAACAGGG